UCCAACUUUUCGCUGUCUGGAAUGUAGACUCCGUUCUUGAUGGAGCCGGCGAAGCCCAAGGGGUCGAAGAACUUGCCACCAGGGUAGCCUUGCUCUCCGGUGGCGUUGGCAAAGUUCUCCGAAGUCUUGGACCAAGGUGUGGCCCACUCAAUGGACUGGGACUCAGGGUUGUAGAAGUCCACCCAUCUUUUGCUUUCCACCCAACCCAUGAGCAAGAGCUGAGUGCCAAGCAGUGAGCCAAAGGAGAAGGGUGCUAUAGCGCUGGGGUCUGCCCCGGCUUCGAACCAUGGGACACCACUCCAGGCCUGGCCUACAAAGAUGCCGACCACGGCGGCCAUUGCCCACCGUCCGUGGAUGAGCUCAGCCUCUCUGUACCACUUUAGGAACCCUGGGUCCUUGCCUAGUCCUAGAGGGUCGAAACCGUAGUCACCUGGAAGCCUGCAUGCAUACAAUAUCAUAUAUUAUACUUCUUAUGGACAAAUCGAUAUUCUAAACUAUAUGUAUAUUAAUGUAUAUUAACAUGGUUGAUGGUUGAAAUGAGACUCACGAGCCAUCGAGCCACUCAGGAUCGAUGAAGUUGUUGCUGGCUUUAACGGCUGGGAUCCAAGACUUCUUAGGUGCAGCAGCAGCAACCACAAUGAACCUCUUAGGAGCAGCAGGGCCGCCUCCAACUCUGGUGGUUCCAAAACCAGCAGACAACAAGGCCUGGCUUCUCUUGCCUCCGCACAAGAAGGGUGAGUUCAACCCAUUAAGCACUGCACCAGUUGUUGCUGCCAUUUCCCUCUGUUUCUCUCUCUAGAUCUCUCUCACACUCUCUCUCUCU
rnacentral:lncRNA from 1 species